UACGUAGGGUGCAAGCGUUGUCCGGAAUUAUUGGGCGUAAAGAGCUCGUAGGUGGCGGGUCACGUCGGGUGUGAAAGCCCGGGGCUUAACCCCGGGUCUGCAUUCGAUACGGGCUUGCUAGGGUCCGGCAGGGGAGACUGGAAUUCCUGGUGUAGCGGUGAAAUGCGCAGAUAUCAGGAGGAACACCGAUGGCGAAGGCAGGUCUCUGGGCAUCUACUGACGCUGAGAAGCGAAAGCAUGGGGAGCGAACAGG
rnacentral:rRNA from 1 species